rnacentral:lncRNA from 1 species
AUAUAUAUAUAUAUAUAUAUAUAUAUAUAUAUAUAUAUAAAUGGAGGUUCUUUGGACAGAGUUAUUGGGGGGAGAAUGCGUGAAAAACUAGGGUUCUUCUCAUUUUUCCAUUUUUCAAAGAAGCUAAGUUUCGAUUUUUGGUUGCAAAAAAUGGAGAUGGUUUCCAUUCUGCGCGACUGAAGUUUGGUUGUGUGUUCAUCGCAAAAUUGAAUCAAGGUGUCGAUUCGAGUUUCUGGGGUUCCUUUGCGGUCGAAUUAUGGUUCGUGAUUCUUGUUGCUGCUGUUUUGCUUGUUCAUUUCAAAACUUCAUCGGAAAGUCAGUUUGUAAUCGCAUACAAACAAAUUCAAUCAGAAGCUUUCCACAUUCAGGUUCAUUUCCUUACUCUUUUGGUUCUGUUUUUUGCAGGUUUUGAACGUUGAUUGAUUGCGGAUGAAUUCUCUUCGAUGUAAAUGUGUUCUGUUCUGUCGUUAUGUUAGAAGUAUAUUUUAACUUCGAAUUUGUUUGUCUCCUACUACUAAAGAAUUGAUUACAAGGCUUCAAGAAAUCGAAACAGCUGAUAUAAUUCUUUGUAUAGUUCCCUGAAUCGAAUAGCCUGUUUGUGAAGCUUUGAAAGGAUUGAGCUAAUUGAGUAUUCUGUGAUUUUCUUGGAAUCAUGUUUCGUUUAUGUCAACUGUGUGUUCAUCAAAUUCUUCAGGUGAAAUCUCUUAGACGGUAAACGAGCGUGAACUAUUUGGAUCUCUGCUUGUUUUAAUUAGUGUGAUAGAUUAAUAUCGAAGUAUUGGACCUAAUCUUGAUGGAAUUGUAUUCCAUACGUUGUUCUUGUUGGUGUUUUUCUUGAUGCAAAGUUCAUUAGGUUCAGUUAUCUUGAGGCAAGCGUGAUAUUUACUGGCAUGCUCUUUUCACUCUCGGCACUAAAAUUAUCACUUAAUUGACCUUAUGUCCUGAGAAGUUUAGGCUAAGUUGUGAAAAAUUUCCUCGCUGCAAACUUCCUUCAAAUGUAAUUGAAAGAACAACAGUUUUUUUUUUGAAUUCUCAAAGUUAUUUGGCGUAGUAGUUUAUGAGUGAGUCAACUGGUGUUCCCUGUUUUGAAUAACACUGUCCAUGCCUUCCAGUGAUCCAUAUAACACGUGACUCAUUGCUCUAUCAAAUUGACGGAUCUAUACCUUUUCACAUAUGUUGGACGAGAACUUCUAUUGUUUCCAUGAUUAGACAUAACUAGUUGGCUUGGAUUUGUGAGUUGUUUUCCCAUAUAGUUAGUUUGAUCAUGAGUUAGUAAAUCAAGUAGGGUGCAUUUUUGGAAAGGGUGUGGUAUCCAUGUUAGUUAUUAUUUUUAGAUCAUCUCAAGUGUCCUGUCCUCACUUUGUUUAUUGGCACUUUUGCAUUAUGAUUUACUGGGAUGUUUCAUGGAUUUGAAGCUGAAUGUGAUUUUUUCUUAAAUUAAAUGUUUUGUUGUGUUCAAGAUUUGAAAAAUAUAUAAAUGCUUCUCUGUUGUUAGAAGGGUUGUCCUUUGAUGUUUAACCCAGGCUUCGUCUCUUUUUAUUUGUUUACUGCCAUUUACUUGUUCCUUCAUUCCAAUUGUUUGAUGUUUGACCCUUUAUUUGACUUUAUCUUUAUGAAUUAGAAGUACUGUACAUGGUCGUCGGGUUUGGGAAUUUGAGAUUAAAAGGGUAGUUUGCAUCCUUUAUAUUUCUUAUCUCAUUUUAUUCUCUUACUCCUACUCUAGUCGCUAGAAGUAUGUUAGGCCGACCAUACUUGGGUAGGCAAGCUUUAGGAUUUUAUUAGUUUCGAGGCGAGAGGUCAUUUCCUUAUUUAAAUUUACCCGGGGAAUGCCCCGAGAGAUUUGUAUAUAUUUCAUUCCGGGGAAUGCCUCGUAGAACUUUGUAAUGAGAAGUCAAAAGUAGAACUUGUAGUAUUUUAUUCUUGUUUUCUAUUUUCUUUUAUUAGGCGGGGACGACCUCGAGCCUCAUGUGUGUUUAUUUUACUUUUUUCCGUGAUUUUACCUCAACUUGAAUAUUUUAGAAGCCAACUAGAUCAAGUUCGCAACCAUACUAGUUACGGGACUCGGGGAAUGCCUAACACCUUCUCCCCGAGUCAAAUGAGCCCCCUUACCCGAUUCUCUGGUGCGGACUUAGUUUUGGAGUCUCAAGUAUUUUGAAAGGA